rnacentral:rRNA from 1 species
UCAGUUUGAAUGAAACCGUACCGCAAACCGACACAGGUGGGUAGGAUGAGAAUUCUAAGGCGCUUGAGAGAACUCAGGAGAAGGAACUCGGCAAAUUGAUACCGUAACUUCGGGAGAAGGUAUGCCUCUUAUGGUGAAGGAUUAACUCUGUAAGCUAUGAGAGGUCGCAGAGAAUAGGUGGCUGCGACUGUUUAAUAAAAACACAGCACUCUGCAAACACGAAAGUGGACGUAUAGGGUGUGACGCCUGCCCGGUGCUGGAAGGUUAAUUGAAGAUGUGCAAGCAUCGGAUCGAAGCCCCAGUAAACGGCGGCCGUAACUAUAACGGUCCUAAGGUAGCGAAAUUCCUUGUCGGGUAAGUUCCGACCCGCACGAAUGGCGUAACGAUGGCCACACUGUCUCCUCCUGAGACUCAGCGAAGUUGAAAUGGUUGUGAAGAUGCAAUCUCCCCGCUGCUAGACGGAAAGACCCCGUGAACCUUUACUGUAGCUUUGCAUUGGACUUUGAAGUCACUUGUGUAGGAUAGGUGGGAGGCUAAGAAGCAGGAACGCUAGUUCUUGUGGAGCCGUCCUUGAAAUACCACCCUGGUGACUUUGAGGUUCUAACCCGGAUCCAUAAUCUGGAUCGGGGACCGUGCAUGGUAGGCAGUUUGACUGGGGCGGUCUCCUCCCAAAGAGUAACGGAGGAGUUCGAAGGUUACCUAGGUCCGGUCGGAAAUCGGACUGAUAGUACAAUGGCACAAGGUAGCUUAACUGCGAGACCGACAAGUCGAGCAGGUGCGAAAGCAGGACAUAGUGAUCCGGUGGUUCUGAAUGGAAGGGCCAUCGCUCAACGGAUAAAAGGUACUCCGGGGAUAACAGGCUGAUUCCGCCCAAGAGUUCAUAUCGACGGCGGAGUUUGGCACCUCGAUGUCGGCUCAUCACAUCCUGGGGCUGUAGUCGGUCCCAAGGGUAUGGCUGUUCGCCAUUUAAAGUGGUACGUGAGCUGGGUUUAAAACGUCGUGAGACAGUUUGGUCCCUAUCUGCAGUGGGCGUUGGAAGUUUGACGGGGGCUGCUCCUAGUACGAGAGGACCGGAGUGGACGAACCUCUGGUGUACCGGUUGUGACGCCAGUCGCAUCGCCGGGUAGCUAAGUUCGGAAGAGAUAAACGCUGAAAGCAUCUAAGCGUGAAACUCGCCUGAAGAUGAGACUUCCC